CCGCCACUUGGCUCUCUUCCUCCCAAGCGAGGCCGCGGCCGCCGCGCGACACCGAAGCCACAGCUUCCAGGCCGCGAGGACCCGCGACUUCCAUAGCGGCUUGGCAGGCAUCUUGUCCAGAAGUCAUUCCUUCAUUCAAGAACUGUAUGAAGGGCCUGUGUGGGACAGGCACUGCAUCAGGUGCUGGUGAUCCAGGAACAAACAAAGCUGAUAAAAUUUGCUGCCCAAAUGGAGAUGGGUGUGGGGUAAUUAUUGGAGAUGGACAACAAAUUAAACAAGAUAUGCACUCUUUGUGAAA